GCGAAAGCAGGUCAUAGUGAUCCGGUGGUUCUGAAUGGAAGGGCCAUCGCUCAACGGAUAAAAGGUACUCCGGGGAUAACAGGCUGAUACCGCCCAAGAGUUCAUAUCGACGGCGGUGUUUGGCACCUCGAUGUCGGCUCAUCACAUCCUGGGGCUGAAGUAGGUCCCAAGGGUAUGGCUGUUCGCCAUUUAAAGUGGUACGCGAGCUGGGUUUAGAACGUCGUGAGACAGUUCGGUCCCUAUCUGCCGUGGGCGCUGGAGAACUGAGGGGGGC
rnacentral:rRNA from 1 species